rnacentral:lncRNA from 1 species
UCUCCUCCACCUCCUCCUAAGCCUUACUCCUACCACUCUCCACCACCACCGGUUCACUCACCACCUCCACCAUACGAGAAGCCUCACCCAGUGUACCACUCUCCACCUCCACCAUACGAGAAGCCACACCCAGUGUACCACUCUCCACCACCACCACCACCACAUAAGCCUUACAAGUACCCAUCACCUCCACCCCCACCACACAAGUACCCUCACCCCCACCCUCACCCAGUUUACCACUCUCCUCCACCACCACCACCUAAGAAGCAUUACAAGUACUCAUCUCCUCCACCACCAGUUCACACUUACCCUCACCCUCACCCAGUCUACCACUCUCCCCCACCACCAGUUCACACUUACCCUCACCCACACCCAGUUUACCAUUCUCCUCCACCACCACCACCACAUGAGAAGCCAUACAAAUAUGCAUCGC